GAGGGUGUAGCUCAAGUGGUAGAGUGCUUGCUUAGCAAGCAUGAGGUCCUGGAUUCAAUUCCCAGCACCUCCU
rnacentral:tRNA from 1 species